CCUACGGGUGGCAGCAGUGGGGAAUCUUCCGCAAUGGGCGCAAGCCUGACGGAGCAACGCCGCGUGAGUGAAGAAGGUCUUCGGAUCGUAAAGCUCUGUUGACGGGGACGAACGUGCGAGAGGUGAAUAAACUCUUGCAAUGACGGUACCUGUCGAGGAAGCCACGGCUAACUACGUGCCAGCAGCCGCGGUAAUACGUAGGUGGCGAGCGUUGUCCGGAAUCAUUGGGCGUAAAGGGAGCGCAGGCGGGCAUGUAAGUCUUUCUUAAAAGUGCGGGGCUCAACCCCGUGAUGGGAAAGAAACUAUAUGUCUUGAGUACAGGAGAGGAAAGCGGAAUUCCCAGUGUAGCGGUGAAAUGCGUAGAUAUUGGGAGGAACACCAGUGGCGAAGGCGGCUUUCUGGACUGCAACUGACGCUGAGGCUCGAAAGCCAGGGGAGCGAACGGGAUUAGAUACCCCAGUAGUC
rnacentral:rRNA from 1 species